UACGUAGGGUGCGAGCGUUGUCCGGAAUUACUGGGCGUAAAGGGUGCGUAGGCGGUUCGUUAAGUCUGUCGUGAAAUCCCCGGGCUCAACCUGGGAAUGGCGAUGGAUACUGGCGAGCUAGAGUGUGUCAGAGGAUGGUGGAAUUCCCGGUGUAGCGGUGAAAUGCGUAGAGAUCGGGAGGAACAUCAGUGGCGAAGGCGGCCAUCUGGGACAACACUGACGCCGAAGCACGAAAGCGUGGGGAGCAAACAGG
rnacentral:rRNA from 1 species